AUUGAACGCUGGCGGCAGGCCUAACACAUGCAAGUCGAACGAGUGGCGGACGGGUGAGUAAUGUCUGGGAAACUGCCUGAUGGAGGGGGAUAACUACUGGAAACGGUAGCUAAUACCGCAUACCAUCGGAUGUGCCGAGAUGGGAUUAGCUAGUAGGGGGGGUAAAGGCUCACCAAGGCGACGAUCCCCAGCUGGUUUGAGAGGACGACCGGACAACUGGGAACUGAGACACGGUCCAGACGCCUACGGGAGGCAGCAGUGGGGAAUAUUGCACAAUGGGCGCAAGCCUGAUGCAGCCAUGCCGCGUGUAUGAAGAAGGCCUUCGGGUUGUAAAGUACUUUCAGCGGGGAGGCGUUACCCGCAGAAGAAGCACCGGCUAACUCCGUGCCAGCAGCCGCGGUAAUAC
rnacentral:rRNA from 1 species